AUUGAACGCUGACGGCAUGCCUUACACAUGCAAGUCGAACGGCAGCACGGGAGCAAUCCUGGUGGCGAGUGGCGAACGGGUGAGUAAUAUAUCGGAACGUGCCCAGUCGUGGGGAUAACGUAGCGAAAGCUACGCUAAUACCGCAUACGAUCUAUGGAUGAAAGCGGGGGAUCGCAAGACCUCGCGCGAUUGGAGCGGCCGAUAUCAGAUUAGGUAGUUGGUGAGGUAAAGGCUCACCAAGCCGACGAUCUGUAGCUGGUCUGAGAGGACGACCAGCCACACUGGGACUGAGACACGGCCCAGACUCCUACGGGAGGCAGCAGUGGGGAAUUUUGGACAAUGGGCGCAAGCCUGAUCCAGCAAUGCCGCGUGCAGGAUGAAGGCCUUCGGUUGG
rnacentral:rRNA from 1 species